rnacentral:rRNA from 1 species
AGGGUUCGAUCAUGGCUCAGGACGAACGCUGGCGGCGUGCCUAACACAUGCAAGUCGAGCGAGAAUCUUUCAUUGGAACCCUUCGGGGUGAAGAAGGAAGAGGAGAGCGGCGGACGGGUGAGUAACGCGUGAGCAACCUGCCUUAAGGAGGGGGAUAACACAGGGAAACCUGUGCUAAUACCGCAUAAAAUAUAAUUACCGCAUGGUAGAUAUAUCAAAACUCCGGUGCCUUAAGAUGGGCUCGCGUCCAAUUAGCUAGUUGGAGGGGUAACGGCCCACCAAGGCAACGAUUGGUAGCCGGACUGAGAGGUUGAACGGCCACAUUGGAACUGAGAAACGGUCCAG